rnacentral:rRNA from 1 species
AACGAACGCUGGCGGCAUGCCUAACACAUGCAAGUCGAACGAGACCUUCGGGUCUAGUGGCGCACGGGUGCGUAACGCGUGGGAACCUGCCUUUAGGUUCGGAAUAACUCAGAGAAAUUUGAGCUAAUACCGGAUGAUGUCUUCGGACCAAAGAUUUAUCGCCUUUAGAUGGGCCCGCGUUGGAUUAGCUAGUUGGUGGGGUAAAGGCCUACCAAGGCGACGAUCCAUAGCUGGUCUGAGAGGAUGAUCAGCCACACUGGGACGGAGACACGGCCCAGACUCCUACGGGAGGCAGCAGUGGGGAAUAUUGGACAAUCGGCGGAAGCCUGAUCCAGCACUGCCGCGUGAGUGAUGAAGGCCUUAGAGUUGUAAAGCUCUUUUACCCGAGAUGAUAAUGACAGUAGCGGGAGAAUAAGCUCCGGCUAACUCCGUG